GACGAACUCUGGCGGCGUGCUUAACACAUGCAAGUCGAACGAAGAGCGAUGGAAGCUUGCUUCUAUCAAUCUUAGUGGCGAACGGGUGAGUAACGCGUAAUCAACCUGCCCUUCAGAGGGGGACAACAGUUGGAAACGACUGCUAAUACCGCAUACGAUCUAACCUCGGCAUCGAGGAUAGACGAAAGGUGGCCUCUAUUUAUAAGCUAUCACUGAAGGAGGGGAUUGCGUCUGAUUAGCUAGUUGGAGGGGUAACGGCCCACCAAGGCGAAGAUCAGUAGCCGGUCUGAAGGGGAUGAACGGCCACAUUGGGACUGAGACACGGCCCAGACUCCUACGGGAGGCAGCAGUGGGGAAUCUUCCGCAAUGGACGAAAGUCUGACGGAGCAACGCCGCGUGAGUGAUGACGGCCUUCGGGUUGUAAAGCUCUGUUAAUCGGGACGAAAGCCCUUCUUGCGAAUAGUUAGAAGGAUUGACGGUACCGGAAUAGAAAGCCACGGCUAACUACGUGCCAGCAGCCGCGGUAAUACGUAGGUGGCAAGCGUUGUCCGGAAUUAUUGGGCGUAAAGCGCGCGCAGGCGGAUUGGUCAGUCUGUCUUAAAAGUUCGGGGCUUAACCCCGUGAUGGGAUGGAAACUGCCAAUCUAGAGUAUCGGAGAGGAAAGUGGAAUUCCUAGUGUAGCGGUGAAAUGCGUAGAUAUUAGGAAGAACACCAGUGGCGAAGGCGACUUUCUGGACGAAAACUGACGCUGAGGCGCGAAAGCCAGGGGAGCGAACGGGAUUAGAUACCCCGGUAGUCCUGGCCG
rnacentral:rRNA from 1 species